rnacentral:misc_RNA from 1 species
UUAAAUUUAGUUUUCGAUCAGACACAAGCUAAACAGCAUAGAUUCGACGCCCAGAGGCGCCGAAGCACUUCUCGCUUCCACAGGUUUGAGGAUUAAGGACCCGAAAUGGGUCCAAAUCUUAUUAAUGAUCCCUCCGCAGGUUCACCUACGGAGA